AACAGUUCUAUCCUCAGUGCUCAACAUGGCCAGGGGAAUGGAGCAAGCUCAUUUAACUGCUACAUCAACCCCAAAGACAAGAUAUGGAUGUUUAUUCUACAGAUGAAGGACUCGAAGCACAGGGAGUUUACAGAAUGGGCCAACUUAACAAAGCUAUUGCUAAUGUUGUGCUUCCGACCUCAGUCUUACUCAUUCGUGGCUUUUUCCAGUGGCAUCAUGUAUCAACAAAGAGUCUAUGAUACAUGUUCAAUGGGGAUAAAGCUGAGUGAAAGAAAGAAGGCAGAGGACAAUUGAGAGAGAAAUGGG